GGGUCCGUAGCUCGACUGGCAGAGCAAGCGCCUCUUACGCGCGAGGAUGAGGGUUCGACUCCCUCCGGUCCCA
rnacentral:tRNA from 1 species